GAUGAACGCUGGCGGCGUGCCUAAUACAUGCAAGUCGAGCGAACGGACGAGAAGCUUGCUUUUCUGAUGUUAGCGGCGGACGGGUGAGUAACACGUGGAUAACCUACCUAUAAGACUGGGAUAACUUCGGGAAACCGGAGCUAAUACCGGAUAAUAUUUUGAACCGCAUGGUUCAAAAGUGAAAGACGGUCUUGCUGUCACUUAUAGAUGGAUCCGCGCUGCAUUAGCUAGUUGGUAAGGUAACGGCUUACCAAGGCAACGAUGCAUAGCCGACCUGAGAGGGUGAUCGGCCACACUGGAACUGAGACACGGUCCAGACUCUACGGGAGGCAGCAGUAGGGAAUCUUCCGCAAUGGGCGAAAGCCUGACGGAGCAACGCCGCGUGAGUGAUGAAGGUCUUCGGAUCGUAAAACUCUGUUAUUAGGGAAGAACAUAUGCGUAAGUAACUGUGCACAUCUUGACGGUACCUAAUCAGAAAGCCACGGCUAACUACGUG
rnacentral:rRNA from 1 species